rnacentral:misc_RNA from 1 species
AAGUCGUAACAAGGUUUCCGUAGGUGAACCUGCGGAAGGAUCAUUACCGAGAGAGGGGCUUCGCGCUCCCGGGGUUCCGGCCCCCAACUCUUCACCCAUUGCCUACCUACCUUUGUUGCUUUGGCGGACCACGAGGGUUCGCCCCGCGCUGGCUUUCGGGCCGGUGAGCGUCCGUCAGAGGCCAAUUAUAUUCUGUUUAAUCAACGAUGUCCGAGUUUAAAAACACAAUAGUAAAA